rnacentral:rRNA from 1 species
UACGUAGGUGGCAAGCGUUGUCCGGAUUUACUGGGCGUAAAGAGCGCGCAGGCGGUCGUACAAGUCGCGUGUGAAAGCCCCCGGCUCAACUGGGGAGGGUCACGCGAUACUGUUCGACUCGAAGGCAGGAGAGGGAAGCGGAAUUCCCGGUGUAGUGGUGAAAUGCGUAGAUAUUCGGAAGAACACCAGUGGCGAAGGCGACUAACUGGACAAGUAUUGACGCUGAGGUACGAAAGCGUGGGGAGCAAACAGG